rnacentral:rRNA from 1 species
UACAUGGGGUGCAAACGUUGCUCGGAAUUAUUGGGCGUAAAGCGCGCGUAGGCGGUUACUCAAGUCGGAUGUGAAAGCCCUCGGCUUAACUGAGGAAGUGCACCCGAAACUGAGUAGCUAGAGUACUAAAGAGGGUCGCGGAAUUCCCGGUGUAGAGGUGAAAUUCGUAGAUAUCGGGAGGAACACCGGUGGCGAAGGCGGCGACCUGGGUCGAGACUGACGCUGAGGCGCGAAAGCGUGGGGAGCAAACAGG